rnacentral:rRNA from 1 species
CCUACGGGUGGCAGCAGUGAGGAAUAUUGGUCAAUGGACGAGAGUCUGAACCAGCCAAGUAGCGUGAAGGAUGACUGCCCUAUGGGUUGUAAACUUCUUUUAUAUGGGAAUAAAAUGUUCCACGUGUGGGAUUUUGUAUGUACUUUAUGAAUAAGGAUCGGCUAACUCCGUGCCAGCAGCCGCGGUAAUACGGAGGAUCCGAGCGUUAUCCGGAUUUAUUGGGUUUAAAGGGAGCGUAGGUGGGUUGUUAAGUCAGUUGUGAAAGUUUGCGGCUCAACCGUAAAAUUGCAGUUGAUACUGGCAGUCUUGAGUACAGUAGAGGUGGGCGGAAUUCGUGGUGUAGCGGUGAAAUGCUUAGAUAUCACGAAGAACUCAGAUUGCGAAGGCAGUUCACUGGACUGCAACUGACACUGAGGCUCGAAAGUGUGGGUAUCAAACAGGAUUAGAUACCCUAGUAGUC